UACGUAGGUGGCAAGCGUUGUUCGGAAUUAUUGGGCGUAAAGGGCGCGUAGGCGGUUUUGUAAGUCAGCUGUGAAAGCCCGGGGCUCAACCCCGGGUCUGCCGUGCCGACUGUCAAACUCGAGGGCUGUAGAGGCAGACGGAAUUCCGGGUGUAGCGGUGGAAUGCGUAGAGAUCCGGAGGAAGACCGGUGGCGAAGGCGGUCUGCUGGGCAGUUUCUGCCACUGAUGCGCGACAGCGUGGGGAGCAAACAGG
rnacentral:rRNA from 1 species